rnacentral:lncRNA from 1 species
UAAUGGUGGAGUUAAAAGUGUUUAGGGGCUACCAUUUCAUUGAAAAGGAUGCAGGAUAUCACACAAAAUGGCAAGAGAGGAUAGAUCCAUUGAUGUCCACAGCCUCUACUCGUUUUUGCUCUAUCUGGUGCGACUGUUCUGAUGGCGGAACAGGCAACUGAUUGUUCUGCGUUCCACUUUCCUUUUGGUACCCACUCCUUUGUUCGAUCUUCCCAGUGUCUCAUGUUUCUUUGAUUUCAUCCCUUUCUCCAUCACCUUAUUUUGCUCUUUUUUUUUUUUGAUAUUGUGAUGUGACGAAGAAGGAGGUCAUACAUGAUGGUUUUGAGUGCCACUGGUGGUUCUGAUUUUGCAACCAUUCUGGUUCUCCACCCCUGCUCUUGCGCAGUUCAUUGGUUAUGGAGCGGUUGCUCCCUUAAUCCGCUUGUUCUCCUUUCUGACAGAAUUUCUGCAGCAGUAACGAGUAGGAGGCUGCGUUGAUCCUUUCCUCUCUGACUUUUUUGCACAAAUCUGCACAUAUGAUACUGAAAAACAAAUGCAUGAAGGUGGAAUAAAGGCUAAGGUGCAGGGUGGGAACUAGCUAAAGAUGAGCUAGCCACUCAGGAUCAGCAAAAGAUGGAUAAAAUGGAUAAGAAGUCCUGAGUGUGUUCUCGUUUCCCUGAUCUAAUGCCCAUAACAAGAAGAAUUUCAGUCAAGAUUAGGUUCAAGUACGGUUGAGUUAAGUCUACCCAGUGUAACCUGAUCGGCUGAGAACUUCUGGAGAAUCAAGUGAGAUAUGUCAAAGUGUUCCAGGUCCACAUGUGUGUCUUUCGCCACUGCUAAGGUCACUGAAUAAGAUAACUAAAGCACGAGGUGGUUAGUGAUCAACACGGAAUAAGGUCCUAAUUCCCACAAAUUUUUGACUGACUCAAUAAAAACUGACUCAAAUUGACCCAAAAGAAAAACAAAAGAAAGAAACGAGUUAGUAAACGACGAAAACCCUCCCCCAGACUUACUUCACAACGUCCCUGGUGUGAAAAUAAAUCAGAGAGAAGGCGAAAACAAGAAUAAUUUUUUUUUUUUUUGGGUCGAGAUACUUACCUGGCGCGGAGCAGCCUGACAGAGCAAGACGCGGUUGCUCCGUUAAACCAUGCUCUGGAAUGAGAGUAGCCAGCUGCUUACUCCAGUCAAGGGUCUCGGAUUUUCUGAUUUAUGACCUGAGACUCUAUAAACUAAAAGA